CUCAAUCUCGCUCCUCCCUCCUCCCUCUGUCCGUCUCUCCUCUCUUCCUCAGAGCUCAGCGUCUGCUGGUGGAACAAAGAACACUAGAAGACUCCAUCCUCCCCUGUAUCUGCCAGCUCUCCCCUGGUCUCUACCCGUCUCUCCUGGUCUGUAAUCGUGUCCACUAGUUUCUACUGGUGUCUAAUUCUCUUAAGUCAGUCUUUUUUUUUUUCAACCGGUAUCUACUGGUCUCAACUGGUGUCUACUCUUCUCUACUGCUCUAUCCUGGUCUUUGUGCAUCUCAACUAGUUUCUGUUAUUCUUUAGAGGUCUUUACUGGUUUCAACUGGUCUCUGCUUAUAUCUACUGGUGUCUUCUGUUUUCUACUGGUCUCUCUUUGGUCUCUACUGGUCUCUCUUUGGUCUCUACUGGUCUCUACGAUACUUUACUGGUCUCAACUUGUCCCAUCCUUGUGUCUACUGGUCUCUCCUGGUCUCCAUCGGUCUCAACUGGUCUCUACAGGUCUAAGUGAGACGUGUGAGAGCUGGGAUCUCCUGGUAGCAGCAAGACACACAGACAGGAGGACAGAAUCUGAGUCAUCGAAAGACAACACUUAGGAACGACUAGAGAACUACAAACCACAGAGGACUACAAAUAUGGAGUCAGCACAAGAUAAAGCUGUAACAGCAACAAAAAUAACAACUUCCCCUCAGAAGCAGGUGGUCAAGAGCAGGUCCAAGUCCACUGAUGGUGUUCAGCAGGCGAAAAAGGCUUUCCACACGCCUCAGAAGUCUCUACCUGGAGCAGCAGACAUGCAACAGACGGCUGGCCCAGAGAAGAUCAACCCUACCAUCCAGAAAUGACGAACGGACACGGACUGCCAUCGUUGACAUGUUUAUGGUGUCCAGUUACACCAGUCUGGCCCAGCCACUGUUCUGGGGGAGUGUGAGACAGUCGUGAUGGGCCUUGUGGAAACAUUCUGUCCUAACGUGUCCGUGUAUCUGUCUGUCUGGACACCGUCCUCUCCUCCACUUCUGUUUAAACACAACCUGCUGGGAGUUUGUCAAUGUUGUGUGCAGUGACGUUUGUUUGUGAUGCUGGUUAAUAAUGAUGGGCAAUAAAUAUGAU